rnacentral:tRNA from 1 species
UCCUGGGUAGCUCAGUUAGGCAGAGCGGGUGGCUGUUAACCACCUUGUCGGGGGUUCGAAUCCCUCCCCAGGAGCCA